GAUGAACGCUGGCGGCGUGCCUAAUACAUGCAAGUCGAGCGAACAUUUUCUGAUCUUUCUCCUCUGACGUUUUCGCCGCACGCGUGAGUAUAACGUGGAUAACCUCUCUCUCAUACUCUGAUACCUUCGUUGAACCGGAUCUCUUACCCCAUAUUAUAUUAUUUCUCAUAUUUCAGUUGUUUAAAACUUUUUUGUUCUCACUUUUUGAUGUAUCCUCGCCGUGCAUUAGCUAGUUGGUGGGGUAAAGGCCCAACAAGGCGACGAUGCAUAGCCGACCUGAGAGGGUGAUCGGCCACACUGGAACUGAGACACGGUCCAGACUCCUACGGGAGGCAGCAGUAGGGAAUCUUCCGCAAUGGGCGAAAGCCUGACGGAGCAACGCCGCGUGAGUGAUGAAGGUCUUCGGAUCGUAAAACUCUGUUAUUAGGGAAGAACAAAUGUGAAAGUAACAAUGCACGACUUGACGGUACCUAAUCAGAAAGCCACGGCUAACUACGUG
rnacentral:rRNA from 1 species